AUUGAACGCUGGCGGCAGGCUUAACACAUGCAAGUCGAGCGGGGAAAGGUAGCUUGCUACCUGACCUAGCGGCGGACGGGUGAGUAAUGCUUAGGAAUCUGCCUAUUAGUGGGGGACAACAUUCCGAAAGGAAUGCUAAUACCGCAUACGCCCUACGGGGGAAAGCAGGGGAUCUUCGGACCUUGCGCUAAUAGAUGAGCCUAAGUCAGAUUAGCUAGUUGGUGGGGUAAAGGCCUACCAAGGCGACGAUCUGUAGCGGGUCUGAGAGGAUGAUCCGCCAGACUGGGACUGAGACACGGCCCAGACUCCUACGGGAGGCAGCAGUGGGGAAUAUUGGACAAUGGGCGAAAGCCUGAUCCAGCCAUGCCGCGUGUGUGAAGAAGGCCUUUUGGUUGUAAAGCACUUUAAGCGAGGAGGAGGCUACCGAGAUCAAUACCCUUGGAUAGUGGACGUUACUCGCAGAAUAAGCACCGGCUAACUCUGUGCCAGCAGCCGCUGUAACAC
rnacentral:rRNA from 1 species